GUAAUGACUAUGAAGGGGAGCAAGUAACCUGUCUUGCGGGCUGCAGAGAGCCGGGGUAGCUGCGAACCGGUGCCGGAGCAGGCGAAAGGAUCGCCCCGGAGUCGCCAGCUGAAAGGCGUGCUGACGCCGAUUAAGCCGGGCCGGGUUGGUCACCCGUUACCAAAGCCGUGUCCUGGUGGGACACAUAAGAGGUCUUUGCCGUGAGGCAAGGGCAAGCAGGGUGGUACCGCGCGAGGAUUUCCUCUCGUCCCUGGC
rnacentral:ncRNA from 1 species